UUCGCAAUGCCCGAAAGGGUGACGAAGCGACGCCGCGUGGGUGAGGAAGGCCUUCGGGUUGUAAAGCCCUGUCAGGAGUUAAGAAAUGUAAGUGCGCUAAUAUCGCAUUUAUUUGACAAAGGCUCCAAAGGAAGCCACGGCUAACUCUGUGCCAGCAGCCGCGGUAAUACAGAGGUGGCAAGCGUUGUUCGGAAUUAUUGGGCGUAAAGAGCACGUAGGUGGGUUUGUAAGUCAGAUGUGAAAGCCUUCUGUUCAACGGAAGAAUUGCAUCUGAAACUACAAGUCUUGAGUGUAGGAGGGGAGAAUGGAACUUCUGGUGGAGCGGUGAAAUGCGUAGAUAUCAGAAGGAACGCCGGCGGCGAAAGCGAUUCUCUGGCCUAUUACUGACACUCAGUGUGCGAAAGCUAGGGGAGCAAACGGGAUUAGAUACCCCGGUAGUCCUAGCUGUAAACGAUGGGCACUAAGUAGAGGGGUUUU
rnacentral:rRNA from 4 species